rnacentral:rRNA from 1 species
CGCGCGAUACAGGGUGACAGCCCCGUACACAAAAGCGUAUGUGCUGUGAGCUCGAUGAGUAGGGCGGGACACGUGGUAUCCUGUCUGAAUAUGGGGGGACCAUCCUCCAAGGCUAAAUACUCCUGACUGACCGAUAGUGAACCAGUACCGUGAGGGAAAGGCGAAAAGAACCCCGGCGAGGGGAGUGAAAAAGAACCUGAAACCGUGUACGUACAAGCAGUGGGAGCCCCACCACUAAGCCAGUGGUGAACUCCACAUACGCAUCCUUUGCUGAGGAUACGGUUAACGGAGCGAAAGCGACGUUCAACCGCAAAAGAAGCAGAGGGGGCUUAGUGGUGGGGUGACUGCGUACCUUUUGUAUAAUGGGUCAGCGACUUAUAUUCUGUAGCAAGGUUAACCGAAUAGGGGAGCCGGAGGGAAACCGAGUCUUAACCGGGCGUUAAGUUGCAGGGUAUAGACCCGAAACCCGGUGAUCUAGCCAUGGGCAGGUUGAAGGUUGGGUAACACUAACUGGAGGACCGAACCGACUAAUGUUGAAAAAUUAGCGGAUGACCUGUGGCUGGGGGUGAAAGGCCAAUCAAACCGGGAGAUAGCUGGUUCUCCCCGAAAGCUAUUUAGGUAGCGCCUCGUGAAUUCAUCUCCGGGGGUAGAGCACUGUUUCGGCUAGGGGGCCAUCCCGGCUUACCAACCCGAUGCAAACUGCGAAUACCGGAGAAUGUUAUCACGGGAGACACACGGCGGGUGCUAACGUCCGUCGUGAAGAGGGAAACAACCCAGACCGCCAGCUAAGGUCCCAAAGUCAUGGUUAAGUGGGAAACGAUGUGGGAAGGCCCAGACAGCCAGGAUGUUGGCUUAGAAGCAGCCAUCAUUUAAAGAAAGCGUAAUAGCUCACUGGUCGAGUCGGCCUGCGCGGAAGAUGUAACGGGGCUAAACCAU